AGAUGUACCAGAUGGGAAUACUAAGGAUGAAACAUGCUUCUUUGUGGAGGCCCUAAUCCGGUGUAACCUCAAAUCGCUAGCUGAUGUGUCAGAGCGUUUGGCAGUGCAGGGCCAUACCGAGCCUAUUGAUAGAAUGUAGCUGCUAGCUGUUGUGUCAGAGCGUUUGGCAGUGCAGGGCCAUACCGAGCCUAUUGAUAGAAUGUAGCUCCAAGUUUUCGGAAAUGCAGCACUGUGGUCGUCUAUCUUUGCUGCUGGAGCAUACAUGGAUUUUGAUUAGAAGGUGAGUGUAGUGACAGGUAUUGUGUAUGUCCUACUCGAUCUCAGAAGAGUGUAUAUAUACACAUGUAUAUUUAUAUUGAUGCUUCCUUUUGAAUCAUCUGAAGGUCA
rnacentral:lncRNA from 1 species